UUGAAUUGCCUUUCUGGAACAUUUAGAAGUUACCACCACACAAAAUCAAAAAAAGGAGCAUAGCAGAAUAUGUGAUGCUCAGGGCGGCUUGCACUAUCUAAUUUCUCAGGCCCCCGAAUAUAUUUAUAUGUACUCUAUGUUAGGGUUAACAUUGAAUGAAGAAUAGGGCCAAAUUGGAGAAACAAAGUUCAUUGGAGAUUUGACGGUGGACUGACGAUAGUAAAUAUAAUUGAUUUGAAGUCUUGGCCAACCAUUCAUUUAUAGAUGGAAUGGAUUUGUAUAUUCGUAACACUUUGAUUGAUAUGUAUGAUGGAAGAAUGUGCAUCUGAUAAAAGCACGCCAGGUGUUCGAUGCUAUGCCAAAGAGACAUUCAUUGAAAUUUAUUAGUCUAUGGAUUCCAAGAUUUUGAAGAACUAGAGGUUUGUGAGGAAACACACGAAAUAGAGUGGGAAAAUUUCUAUAGAAGAACAUAUGUUUUCAGACUUUGACAGCUAUAUAUAGCAACUUCUUUUCAUGAGCCACAACCUUUGACAGAUUCUAUAUCUCGCUUUGUAUGGGUUAAGUUACUAAGUGACAUAAAUUUCUAGCCAAAACCAUGAGUAGAAAUGGUCAGAAGAGGUGGCCAUAGUUCCAACAUUUGAUGGUAAACAUGUUUAAUGGAGCCUUUCUUGAGGAACGCUGAACUUGUAUCUUUAUCAGAAUCAUACCAUCUGACAGACAUCAACAAAGCUUGGAGACUCUGAUGUGGAGAGCUAUCAAACAACUAUCACUUGAAUAUCAAGACAAGUAGAAUAUUAUCUUUAUUAUUAGGAUGUUAUAUGUUGAUGUUAUACAAUAACUAUUAGGAUGUUAUAUGUUGAUGGUCUAUUUAUAAAAUUGGUUUUA
rnacentral:lncRNA from 1 species